UACGUAGGGUGCAAGCGUUAAUCGGAAUUACUGGGCGUAAAGCGUGCGCAGGCGGUUAUAUAAGACAGUUGUGAAAUCCCCGGGCUCAACCUGGGAACUGCAUCUGUGACUGUAUAGCUAGAGUACGGUAGAGGGGAUGGAAUUCCGCGUGUAGCAGUGAAAUGCGUAGAUAUGCGGAGGAACACCGAUGGCGAAGGCAAUCCCUGGACCUGUACUGACGCUCAUGCACGAAAGCGUGGGGAGCAACAGG
rnacentral:rRNA from 1 species